AAAAAUCUGUGGAUCCUGUAGUGAUCUUCCUCUCUUUUGCUUUGGGAGUGUGUGUACUUAUUAUCUUUACUCACAUCAUAACCUGUAAAUGGAGGAACUGUGAAGGCGGCAGUUUGAGAUCUCAUCACGGUUCUGCAAACCAGGUUCGUUCUGCUGCCAAUCUCUAUUUCUCUGCUUUACAUUUCAAAGAGAGGAAACUCAGACCUCAGGACAGUGUGUAUUCUGAAGUGAUGUACUCCUCUUUUGCUUAGAAUAUGUUUCAGCCAGGCUUUAUAUUAGGUAUGAUGUUACUGCACUCAGUGUCUCGCUUUGUUUCAUGAUUGCAUUGUUCAGUGAAUCUAGCGCAAAUAUUACAUGUAGUUUUGCUUUGUUU